rnacentral:rRNA from 1 species
GAUGAACGCUAGCGGCAGGCCUAAUACAUGCAAGUCGGACGGGAUUCAGGAGCUUGCUUCUGAUGAGAGUGGCGCACGGGUGCGUAACACAUAUGUAACCUACCUUUAUCAGGGGGAUAGCCUCUCGAAAGAGAGAUUAAGCCCGCAUAAAAUCACAGCACAGCAUUGUGUAAUGAUCAAAUAUUUAUAGGAUAAAGAUGGGCAUGCGGAACAUUAGCUAGAUGGCGGGGUAACGGCCCACCAUGGCGACGAUGUUUAGGGGAUCUGAGAGGAUGGCCCCCCACACUGGUACUGAGACACGGACCAGACUCCUACGGGAGGCAGCAGUAAGGAAUAUUGGUCAAUGGGCGGAAGCCUGAACCAGCCAUGCCGCGUGCAGGAAGACGGCCCUACGGGUUGUAAACUGCUUUUAUACGGGAAUAAACCCAGAUACGUGUAUCUGGCUGAAUGUACUGUAAGAAUAAGGAUCGGCUAACUCCGUG